rnacentral:lncRNA from 1 species
GGUAGAGUUUGAUUGAGAGGUCAGGAGAGGACUCAGCCAUCAAAGGCAUCCAACUUGAAGACUAGAGAUACCCCCAGGGGCAAGGUUCCACUUGGACUGAGCACCAUGAGAAAAGGAGCAUCUGGUGUAGCAACAGAUUUGAAGGUGACCUCCAUUGAGCCCUAAGAGAGAUAACAGUCUCUCUGCAAUCAACAAGCCUGGCUCCUCUGGAUACUAAAACAGCAACUGUGGAGUAAAUCUGCCCCCAUCCCCACCUCCUUCCUUCUCUUUUUCUUCAGGACAACACAAAGAAACUCUACGGGAAGUAUAUGCUUUGAUGGUGGUAAACCCUGAGUGGCUCCUACAACAGGAUUGAGAAGGGUAAUUUUGCA